rnacentral:lncRNA from 1 species
UUGGGGUGUUACAGGUUCGCACGUGAGCGGCGCGGCGGCGCGAGGAAAGGGCGUAGCUCAGUAGAUAGCGCCCUACCACAGAGACCAGAGUUAGCGGUACCCCGAGUCGACAUAUCCUAGGGGUAUAGAGAUGAAAGAUCAAUGUAUCAAAUUGUAAUGAAUAAUUGAUGUAGCAAUUCAUAUUCAGAUGUACUAUGCUUGUGAAUAAUGAUGUAGUAGCUUAGAUUGCAUUUGGUUUGAAGUAAAUUGUAAUUAAGAGGUAAGGUAUGAAUGAAUGAAUGUAAUAACUUAGGAUGUGUUUAUGUUGUUUGAUACCUUCCUUAUGCAAUCGUUGUAUGUUGAAUACUGUUCCUGUUUGGAACCUGUUGUAAUUGUAUUGAUUGCGAUGCCUUGAACGUACAGGGGAGACUCUGUCCGCAGUGCAGGGAAAACUCUGUCCGUUCGGCGCUGUCGGCGCCGCGACCCCGACCAAAUAGGCGGGUGGUCGCGGGCUGUGAUAGGUCCCUGGAAGGAGAGACCGGUCCCCCAAUGAGCAGUGUUGCGGCAGCCCUGAGGCAACCGGUCCCUGGCGGGUGACACCGGUCCCGAGCGCGUUUUCGCAAUGAGAGACCGGUCCUGCGUAGGGAGAGACCGGUUCCCGAACGCUGGUUUUUCGGGUUCGCAGCGAGAGACCGGUCCCUACUGGGGAGAGACCGGUCCCUCUGGGCGAAAACUGCCCAGACCGAGCUGUUGUGAUAUUGGAUUUUUGAGGGGCCUCUUGGGAUUUUGUUACAAUAGAGNGUGAUUGUCCUAGUUGAGGGGAUUUAAGGCCGAGGUGCAAGUGAGACGUCCUUCGCCUCGUGCCUGGCUCUGUGCGGUACUCCGCAGAUGAUUGACUCAAGACCGAGUCGAGCGGCUAGCUUUGUAAAGGUAGAUGACACCUUAUGAUUAAAAUUGUAAAUGACAGAAAACCUUAAAUGUCAAUUGGAUGAAAGUAGUAAUCGAUUGAAUUACUAGUUGGUUGUAUAGUUGCAUUAUUGCAUGAUCUUCAUAUUGCAUAUCGCGAGGCAAUGCAUGGUAUUGUUAGUUGCAUGAUCUUAUUAUCAUAUCUAUCUGUUUAUUGAACUAACCUGCAGCUUGCCUCCUUCGGACAUGUCGGUCGAGCUUUUUCCUUGGGUGGCCGUACCCACUGGGAACUAUGGAGUUAGUUCUCACCCCACGUUGCUUUUGGGGUAUUACAGGUUCACACAUGAGCGGCGCGGCGGCGCGAGGCGAGGGCGUAGCUCCGUAGAUAGCGCCCUACCACCGUGACCAGAGAUAGCGGUACCCAAGUCAGCCAAGCUAGGGGUUGUAGAAAAGAAAAUCAAAAGGAUCAAACUUGUAAUAAUCUUGUGAUGCUUGAUUGUAUUCGGAAGUUUAAAUGUAUUUGAAAGGAAAAGGAAAUGUAAAUAAUAUCAAGUGAAUGAAUGAAUGAAUGUAAUAACUUAGGAUGUGUUUAUGUUGUUUGAUACCUUCCUUAUGCAAUCGUUGCAUGUUGAAUACUGUUCCUGUUUGGAACCUGUUGU